AAAUACUGUUCUUAUGGACUGUUGAUGUGUUUAUAUCAGCUGGGCUAGAGAGUUUUUACGAUCAGAGAGAUAUCUAUGUUAUCGAGUAGUUUUAAAUGAUGAGACUUUCAAAUCGAUGAUCGAUUUCGUUAAAUUUGAUUUAGAAUAUUUGAAGUGUUUAUUUUUCAAAAUCAUUUAUCUAGUGAUUGAAAGGACUCAAAAUUAAUGGCUGAAAAUAAAAAUAUCAUAAAGAAAGGGAGCCUUACCUUUUUCUAUUUUAUACCAAAGAUAUCGAUCUUGUUUUAUAUAAGAUAUAAAAUUUUAAUCAAAAUUUUACAUAAUAUAAAUAUUUUUAGUACACCAUUAAACUUACAAAUAAUGCAUCUCGGCCUAGAGUAUUUGAUGUAGUUAGUGUUAAAUAUAAAAAUAUAAAAACAUCGUUCUCUAACAGUUUAAGCUUUUAGAGUACAACAGUUAAUUGUUUAACAGUUAGGAAAUAAAUUUUGUAAUUUUUUGAUAUAAUUUAAAACUAGUG
rnacentral:lncRNA from 1 species